UGUACGGACAUAAUAAAACCAUUGAAGGGGCUUGAUGUCAUCGCAGAAACCACAGACACGGUCGAGCCCCAGCAAUUUGUCACCGGAGCCGCGCGGCGUUUCCCGGUCUCCUGCGGCAGCGGGGUUUCUCCCGCUUCGCCCGCCAAGCCCGCACGGUGGUUCGGGAGCGACGGCGGUGCCCAGGGGAUCCCCCGGGGAUCCCAGGACCCAAGCGCUGGAAAAGGCCCUGCCGGGAACCGCCUGCCGCUCGCUCCCCUCCUGCCACCCAUAAUCUUAAUUGCUCUUCGGCAGCUGUUUGCUAACCCCAGCGCGUUUCCUCCCGGCUUGCACCGAGACGGUUUAUCGCUCCCGCUCUGGUGUUAUGUCAAGCUGAGGCACGGAGGGAAGGUCAGAGCCCGGAGCGCUCCCUGCGAUCCCAGAGAGGAGCCGCGACGGGGAGCGCGGGCGYGGAGCCAGGACGGAGGGGCCGGUGGGUCCAGGUCUCGCCCGCUGCCUGCAAGCCCUUGGGGCUCCCCGUGCCCCGGAAAGGCAGYGGACGGAGCGGCAGAUGGGAAUAGCGGCCCCGUUUCCCAUCGAUCGCCAUGCACGUUUAAAAGCCCCCACGGUGUUUAUCCCUGCGACGCAGCUCCACCAAGGAGCACGAGCAGAAAUCCCACAUCGGUCCGAUUGCUCCAGAGCAGGGACCGACCGAGUCCCCUCAAAUCYCUCCGCAGCUCAGCCAAAAACGCCYGUUUCCGAAACGKCCCCGGAGCAAGGAACGGGGCAGGGCCGCUCCUGUUUAUUGCCUCCCUUGCCGGCGUCUGCCCGGCUUCCCCAUCUCCCAGAUGCUGCCAUAAACGCGGUUUAAUGGGGGCACGUGCGUGUGCUUUAGGCAAACAGCCGCGAGCCCUGCAGCCGGCACCCGCGGCCCGGGCUCGGCGCGGGGGCACCCGCGCGAGGGAGGCUGCAGGAGGAGCGGCACGGUGCCGCGACCCGAACGGCGGCGGCUCCGUUUCGGGGCAGCCCCCGGGGCCGAAAGGGAGCGGGCGCCCGGGGGUGCUGCCAGCUCGGAUGCCGGGGACACGGGGCGGGUGCCAACGGGGAGCAGAGGGAUCCGCCGGCGUGUUUGCUGUUCCUUCGUUAAUGCCCUGCUCUUUUCUUUCCUCCGGUUGCUUUCAACUCCUGCUUUUGUUUCUCGGGAUUAAGCCUGGAAAUCGCUGCAGGUCGCCCAGCGGUGCCAGGAAGAGACGGCUCGGGGCAGCGCGGGGGCACCCAGCUCCGCAAAUGCCGGCGCGGGGGGGGAUGCAGCGAGGUCACGGCUCCCCGCCGCUCAGCCCCGUCGCGGGGACGAGCCUUGCUCCGAAACCGGCUCUUGCACGAGCCCCGUGCCGGCGCAGCCCCGGCUCCCCGCGAGCCCCGGCUGCUCUCCGGCAGCGUUCCCAGGCGCGCGCGGGCAGCCAGGUGGGACCGGCAGGGCCCCGUGCCAGCGCACGGGGAUGUUGUCUUUUCACACAGCGCCGGUGCGGAGCCGAGCGGCAGCAAACCCUCCGCUGUUUUGUUUCCCACAGCGGCUGCCACCGAGAAAUGCAAAUCCAGUCUUGCCCUUUCUUUUGCUUUUUCCCCCUGAAUGCAAACGAUCCGCGGGCAUAA
ensembl:lncRNA